rnacentral:lncRNA from 1 species
UCAUUUACCUAGUGAUCAAAAAGAUUCAAAAUCAACAAUUUUUAAUGGUUAAUGUAUACCGUUUGCAAGUUUAAUAGUGUAGAAGUAUUCAAAUCAAAUAAAAUUUUGAUAGAAAAUUCUUUAUACUAUCUACAACAAGAUCAAUAUCUCUGAUCGAAAAUUUCAGUGCUACAUCAUAACUUUUUGUGAGAUUUUUAUUUUCAACCGUUGAUUUUGAGUUUUUUCGAUUACUAGAUAAACGAUAUCGAAAAACAGUAAAAUUUAUAUUCUAGAUAGUUCAAAUACGUUAGAUCAAGUCUAAUAGAGUCGAUUAUCGAUUUGUAAGUUACAUCAUCGAAAACGGCUUAGGAGCCUCCAUGCUCCUAAUAGCACACAAGACCUACUCUCUAUAUAUGUAUGUGUGUGUGUGUGUGUGUAUAUGUAAUAUUCUAGAUCAAGUCUAACGGAGCUAAUCGUCGAUUCGAAAGUUCCAACAUCGAAAACGACUUGGAGGCACGAAGGGCUCCGUGCUUCCAGAAGCAUACCAGCCUCACUCUAUAUAUGUGUAUAUAUAUAGAACUAGGCUACUAUACUAUUAAUAGCACCAAGUCAUUAGUGCUAUCAGAUUUUCAGCCCUUGGAUAAAGGGAUGUGCAGUUAGGAUGAUAGUGAUCCCCUAGGAUUUAGUGGGUGGUUGGUGGAAUAGUAUGAUCUAAUGGAUGGAAAAUGAUCAAAGGACUAGAUCUAAUGGUGAAAAACUUGGUAGCACCAAGUGCUUGGUGCUAUUGAUAACAUUGUAGGUUGUAGCUGAACUCUAUAUAUAUAUAUAAUUCAGCUCCUAUGCUUUUAAAAGCACGAAGUUAUUGGUAUUUGUAGGUUUUCGGCCCUUGGAUGAAGGGUUGUGCGAUUAGGAUGAUAGUGGUCUCCUAAGGUUGAGUAGGUGGUUGGCAGAAUAGUAUACUCUAAGGGGUGAAAUUGGUCAAAGGGAUAGAUCUAAUGAUGAGAAACUUCCAAGCACCAAAUGCUUGGUGCUUUUAAAAGCACAAUAGCCAGACUAUAUAUAUAUAUAUAUAUAUAUAUAUAUAUAUAGAGAGAGAGAGAGAGAGAGAGAGAGAGAGAGUCUGACUACUAUACUCUUUUGAGUACCAUCAACUUCGUAGUCAUAAGUCGUUUUUCGAUGAUAGAGCUUUUGAAUCGACGAUCCAUACCGUUAAACAUGAUUUAGAGCAUUUGAAACUUCUAAAACCAAAUUCCAUAAUUUUUCAACAUUAUUUACCUUACGAUCAAAAGAUCUCAAGAUUGACAAUUUUUAACGGCCGGUAUGAGAUGCUCGUUAGUUUAACGGUAUAGAAGAAUCGGAAUCGGUUAAAUUUUUGAUAGAAAAUUCUAUUCAUUAUCUAGAUAGAGAUCUAUAACUUUGAUCUUACAUUGAAGAAUGUGAUCCUCUAUUUUUAGAAAGUUGUUCAAUUUUGACCAUUCCUUUUAUGCCUGCUUGAUUAACUUUAUUAUGAUUUCGAAAAAUUACGAAAUUCAUUUCCUAAAAGUUUCAAAUGCUCUAAAUCAUAUUUAAUGGUAUAGAUCGUUGAUUCGGAAGUUCUAUUAUUGAAAACAACUUAUGAGGACAAAGAGUUCUAUGCUGAUAAGAGUAUAGUAGCCCUACACUCUAUAUAUAUUCAUACAAAGAUUUUAUACAUAGGAAAACACAAGAAUCAUCCAAUAUCAGAGAGAUAUGUAGAAAGCUUUUAUACACGGGAAAUUACUACAAUGACCUGAUAUCUUUUCUAACAUGAUUAACCUGCCCUUUUUCAACUUUUAUUUUUCAUUUUCUACCAUAGUUUUAUUUUAAUAUAUCAAAAUAACUAGAAGCAAAAAAGUGAUCAACAAAAUAUUAUGGUAGAGAGAGAUGGAACUAGAGGGCAAGUGAAGAAAUAUACUGUUCGACGGCCGAUUUGACUUCAUUCUUCUCGAUCUUUCCUCCCACCCCAGAAGCAAGAUCUAGAGCUCCUGACUUCGACAUCACCGGNAGAGCUCCCGACUUCGACAUCACCGGAUCCCGUCGACAACAAAUUAUCUGCUAAAUAAUUCCAAGGAAAGGGUUAUUCAUAAAAAAAUGUGGAUCUGCCGUUCCGAAUAUGCACUUGAAGGACCAGAUCUAUGGAGGAAAAUAGAAAUGAAAAAGGAUAAAAAGGGAUGACGAUCUGCCUUUUCCCAAUAUGCACUUGAAAGACCAGAUCUAUGGAGGAAAACAGAAACGAAAAAUGUAAUGACCUGAAGUAUAAGUAGCAGUAGUUAACAGAGGAGGUAAAUAAAAGUGUUAACUUUGCAUAGUAAACAGAAAUAAGGGCCGCAGCAGGUUGAGGAAGGCGCGAGCUUGGUAGAACUCCGGCGGCGUGAGGGCGCUCGGGUGGAACUCCGGCGGAACGACGGAACUAGGGCAUCCUCAGAGCUCGGAGAGGGCGAUGGGAGGAUCGAGAAGGGAGAAAAGGGGGUCCGACAGAUCUUGGUAUUUGGGGCGAAGAAGAGAACCGGCGGGUUUAGGGAUGUCAAUG